AGGUACUCCUGGAAGGAACCCAAGAUGAUCUCCAGGAGCUCUCUCUGCAGUUGGAUUUAGACAAUGACGCGGUCCUGGAGACGCCUCUGCCCCCUGUGGCUGAAGAGCUGCGGGCUCUCCUGCGGCAGAAGCGCCUGGCUGCCGCUCUGGAUGCCUAGGGUGUGAAGGACCAGUGUACUUUUUCCUCUCCAGUGGCAUGAGGAGAUGAUCAUCCCUGGAGAAACCCCCUGAACCCUUUGAGCCCUGGGCCAUUUCCCCUGAAUAAUCAUUCAUCAAGAAUCAGUAAACCCUUUGAGCAAAG